rnacentral:tRNA from 1 species
GGGAAUAUAGCUUAGUAGUAGAUCAUAUGCCUAGCAUGCAUAAGGCUCUGGGUUCAAAACCCAAUACCA